rnacentral:rRNA from 2 species
CACGUAGGGGACGAGCGUUGUCCGGAUUCAUUGGGCGUAAAGCGCGCGUAGGCGGCUCGGAAAGUCGGUCGUGAAAUGCCGGGGCUCAACCCCGGGACUGCGUCCGAUACUCCCGAGCUGGAGGCAGGUAGGGGAGAUCGGAAUUCCUGGUGUAGCGGUGAAAUGCGCAGAUAUCAGGAGGAACACCGGUGGCGAAGGCGGAUCUCUGGGCCUUGCCUGACGCUGAGGCGCGAAAGCUAGGGGAGCGAACAGG